AGCAGCCGCGGUAAUUCCAGCUCCAAUAGCGUAUAUUAAAGUUGUUGCAGUUAAAAAGCUCGUAGUUGAAUUUCGGGAUUAGUACGUUGGUCGUGCCUUAGGUACGUACUGGUGUUACUGNUUCCUACCUUCUGACGAACCAUCAUGUCAUUAAUUUGGUGUGGCGGGGAAUCAGGACUGUUACUUUGAAAAAAUUAGAGUGUUUAAAGCAGGCUCGCGCUUGAAUACAUUAGCAUGGAAUAAUGAAAUAGGACGUUGACCCUAUUUUGUUGGUUUCUAGGAUUGACGUAAUGAUUAAUAGGGAUAGUUGGGGGCAUUAGUAUUCAAUUGUCAGAGGUGAAAUUCUUGGAUUUAUUGAAGACUAACUACUGCGAAAGCAUUUGCCAAGGAUGUUUUCAUUAAUCAAGAACGAAAGUUAGGGGAUCGAA
rnacentral:rRNA from 1 species